rnacentral:rRNA from 1 species
AGAAUCUUGUCCAAUGGGCGAAAGCCUGAGACAGCCACGCCGCGUGCGGGAAGAAGGCCUUCGGGUCGUAAACCGCUUUCAGGAGGGAAGAAGCGCAAGUGACGGUACCUCCAGAAGAAGGACCGGCCAACUACGUGCCAGCAGCCGCGGUAAUACGUAGGGUCCGAGCGUUGUCCGGAAUCAUUGGGCGGAAAGGGCAUGUAGGCGGCCAGGUAAGUCGGAUGUGAAAUCUCGGGGCUCAACCCCGAAACUGCAUCCGGUACUGCCUGGCUUGAGGAAGGUAGAGGAGAGUGGAAUUCCCGGUGUAGCGGUGGAAUGCGCAGAUAUCGGGAGGAACACCAGCGGCGAAGGCGGCUCUCUGGGCCUUUCCUGACGCUGAGAUGCGAAAGUGUGGGUAGCG